rnacentral:misc_RNA from 1 species
UUGCUGUGAAUCCGCUGCCGAUCCGUGACGCCGAAAGAGGGAGUGCCUCGUACAUAUGGAAAGCCUACAACCAGGGGCUCGGUAUAUUUACCGGCUUGUAUUUACGAAGCUCCUGUAGAAUUUGGCUAACGCAAGUCGAGCAGAGACGCGUAUUUCAUCACAUAGGAAAAAGGAAUCGCUUCAAAGAUAAACCAGAAGGUUGAGAGAGAAAGAGAGAUGUAAAUACGCGCUUGGUUGUUGUAUAUUUUAGCGUAUGGUUAGCUGAAAAUUGCUUUGAAUAUCUUGCGAUCAAAUUUAUGUUUUAUUAUUUCUGUAAAAAUGUGGAUGGAACACUGUUUAAAACUACUUACGUUAUAACUAAGCCUACCCUACGUUUGGAGAGUCUCUCAUCAAUGAAGGCAAAUCAAGAAACUUAAAAGAACACUGUAUCUUAUAUAUACAUUGGAUGGAGUUAAAUAUAACAUUGUGCCCAAACAAGGCAGAUUUGUUGUUUGUAAAGUAUAUCGCUCUGUCAUUGAGUUAGGUAUGUUUAUUAGACAGAUAUCAAUAGAAAGUGUGUUCCUCGUGUGGUCUUGACAUGAGUUUCGUUUGUUUAUGUUAUUACUCUCAACCCGACAAUAUAUAUAUAUGUGUACUUUAGAAGUUGUGUGGUUAUUUAUUUGGUGACGUGUGACGUAAUACUCACGUGACUUUACUAUCUACUAGGUUGAGGGCCUAGUGUUGAGAGAACAACGUGCCGACACGGCCGAGAAUGAUGAACGGAGCCCUCUAUGAGGACAGCACGAGCAGUCGGCCAACUCUGGACCCCGUGCCGCCAAGCCAGCCUAUUCAGCCUGCUCCUCUCCACAUUCCUGCCAAGAGAGUAGCUAGUGGUUUGCCAGUAUCAUAUUCACAUCACGAGCAUAACGUGGAAAACACUGCCGCCGUCAUCCGACACGGACAUGGUGGACAGCCCUGGACUUACACCGCCGAAAACCAUACAGCUUUCGACCCCCACCCUCAGUACAACCAGACUUUUUGUAAUGUCCGAGAGGCCGGAAUGGCUCCAACUUAUUACUACAAUGAACACGCCGUCAGAGCGGUGGGUACACCAGAUAGGAAACCUUCACUCAAGUUCUGGUCGAACACGUACGAAUUGGCGUCCCCGGGACCCAGCAGUGUGGCUCCUGCAGACUCGUGCCAAACCUUCGCUCCACAGACCUGGUGCAACUACUCUCCGUAUCCCACCCGAGUGCCGAGUCACAUGGAGCCCCAUGCACCCCAGCACAUGCCAUAUCUCGCCAGCGAAGACCGAAGUCGAGUGCCCAUGGACUUCUCUUAUCCCGAUAGCUACGGAUUCCGGAGCUUCGGCGGAGCCGAAGCGCAUGGUCCCACACAUUAUAUUCCUGCAGGUACAGUUCCUUUCACAGGAGAAUCUUUGAUAUCGAAUCAUUUGGACUGCACAGGGGCAGUCACAGUCAGAAAGAAAAGAAAACCUUAUUCGAAAUUUCAGACACUCGAAUUGGAAAAAGAGUUUUUGUUCAACUCGUAUGUGUCAAAGCAAAAGCGUUGGGAACUUGCUCGUAACUUGAACCUGACGGAACGACAAGUGAAAAUAUGGUUCCAGAACAGACGGAUGAAAAGUAAAAAGAGCUCCCAAAGAAAUGGAGACAAUCAAAACAACCAGAACAGCACCAACACCACCGUCAACGCCAACACGUAUACCAAUCCAAACUCUGCCAAAUAAAAAAAUAGUUAAUCGAAUAAUUGGGCUAGAAAUGUAAUGACUAACGCCGCUACAGAAGACCACCGCUACGAGAAGUGUUAAAAAAACAAAACAAAAAGGAUACGAAUGCUCUGUGGAAAAAGAGCAAAGGAACGAAAAUCUUUACUUGAUGCUAGGUGAUUAAGAUAAAUUCCGAGACCCAAAUAUAGAUGUUAUCUGUACGAGACCAAACUAUUUUCCAAUUAAGGCAGAUUUCCCAAUAAAACAAACUUUUAAUUUGCUCUUCAUUUUGUUUUGAGCCAUUAAUACGUGUUAAAUAUAUAGAGUAAAAUAAAAAAAAAACAAGGUAAGUUGUAGUUCAAAGUUUUGUUAGUUUGCAGGAUUCGUUUAACAUGUAGAUCUCACAGAAAGACAUAAAAAUCGCUGACAAAUGUUUAAAAGUUAUAGAUGUAGUUGGAUUCUAGCACUAUGUUGUCCUCUGACAUAGACUAACAAAUCUGUAUUUAGGUUGUGAUAUAUAUAUGUGUUGAAGUAAAAGUUCAGCCUACCUCAUGAGUUAAUCAUUAAAACAACAAAGCUGCAAAGCUCUUUAGUUAUUUAAACUUUGGAUUUUUCAAUAUGUUUAACUUCUUCGCAUAAACAAAAAAAAAUAUAUAAAAAAAUGUCAAGAUUGGUUUUGUCUUUCAACGAAAUCGUGUACAACUUAUAUUCGGUUAAGAGUGUGAAAGUAACACAUUUUUAAUUAAUUAAUUUGGCCAGAUUUGUCGUUUAUUUGAAGAACAACCAUGAGGUCUUAAGGAUUAACCCUUCUGUGUGUGUGUGUGUGUGUGUUACCAAACACACACACACACAUUAUUAAUCUGUACAAAAUAAUCGCUUUGUUGUCUUCAUCCUGUCCGAAAUUAGCGUUAAAACAAACGAAGCUUAGUCUGGAUGUCCAAAAUGGUGUAGUUUAUUAAAAAUAUUUGAUUUUGAUUAUACAAUUGUAUGAGAAUGAAUGGUAUGUCACCCGACCAGAUUCAAUAAGAUGGUUCCUAAUGGCAUAAAUCAACUUACAGGUUGUGGCAUUGACCAUUAUCAUUAAUGUGUUGUUGAUAUCAUACUUUAGGUUGUGUAAAUGAAUGUUUAUAGUGUCUUUUUAUUGCUGAGUACAAAGGCUGCUUGUACAUUGCUAUCUUCAGCAGUUGUUGGGUAGUUUCAAGUGCGUUAUUGUAACAGAAGUGCAGUAAAAUGUUAUUUAACAACCUUAUCAUAGGCCUGUACAGAACAGGUGCAAUUUUAUAAUUUAGACCUUAGAUCUGGAUUUUGUUUAUUAGUGCAGUUCAAUUAGGUAAGACAUUAUUGAGUGCUGACACUGGCUGUACAAAGUAAUCGUGCCCAUUGUCGCUUGAUUUGUAUUGUGAAAAAAAAUUUAA